AACGAACGCUGGCGGCAUGCCUAACACAUGCAAGUCGAACGAGACCUUCGGGUCUAGUGGCGCACGGGUGCGUAACGCGUGGGAACCUGCCCUUAGGUUCGGAAUAACUCCCCGAAAGGGGUGCUAAUACCGGUUAAUGUCUUCGCACCCAAGAUUUAUCGCCUUUGGAUGUGCCCGCGUUGGAUUAGCUAGUUGGUAGGGUAAAAGCCUCCCAAGGCGACGAUCCAUAGCUGGUCUGAGAGGAUGAUCAGCCACACUGGGACUGAGACACGGCCCAGACUCCUACGGGAGGCAGCAGUGGGGAAUAUUGGACAAUGGGCGAAAGCCUGAUCCAGCAAUGCCGCGUGAGUGAUGAAGGCCUUAGGGUUGUAAAGCUCUUUUACCCGGGAUGAUAAUGACAGUACCGGGAGAAUAAGCUCCGGCUAACUCCGUG
rnacentral:rRNA from 1 species